rnacentral:tRNA from 1 species
UAGGCUAAUGCCCGCUGGCUGANGCGGUUAGUUGUUAAUUAAUUUUUUACGGGAUCGAGGCCCGUUGGUCUA